GAUGAACGCUGGCGGCGUGCCUAAUACAUGCAAGUCGAGCGAACAGACGAGGAGCUUGCUCCUCUGACGUUAGCGGCGGACGGGUGAGUAACACGUGGAUAACCUACCUAUAAGACUGGGAUAACUUCGGGAAACCGGGGCUAAUACCGGAUAAUAUAUUGAACCGAAUGGUUAAAUAGUGAAAGACGGUUUUGCUGUCACUUAUAAAUGGAUCCGCGCCGCAUUAGCUAGUUGGUAAGGUAACGGCUUACCAAGGCAACGAUGCGUAGCCGACCUGAGAGGGUGAUCGGCCACACUGGAACUGAGACACGGUCCAGACUCCUACGGGAGGCAGCAGUAGGGAAUCUUCCGCAAUGGGCGAAAGCCUGACGGAGCAACGCCGCGUGAGUGAUGAAGGUCUUCGGAUCGUAAAACUCUGUUAUUAGGGAAGAACAAAUGUGUAAGUAACUAUGCACGUCUUGACGGUACCUAAUCAGAAAGCCACGGCUAACUACGUG
rnacentral:rRNA from 1 species